rnacentral:rRNA from 1 species
UACGAAGGGUGCAAGCGUUAAUCGGAAUUACUGGGCGUAAAGGGUGCGUAGGCGGUUGUGUAAGUCAGAUGUGAAAUCCCCGGGCUCAACCUGGGAAUUGCAUUUGAGACUGCACGGCUAGAGUGUGUCAGAGGGGGGUAGAAUUCCACGUGUAGCAGUGAAAUGCGUAGAGAUGUGGAGGAAUACCGAUGGCGAAGGCAGCCCCCUGGGAUAACACUGACGCUCAUGCACGAAAGCGUGGGGAGCAAACAGG